rnacentral:rRNA from 1 species
AGUCGAACGGUGAAGCCAAGCUUGCUUGGUGGAUCAGUGGCGAACGGGUGAGUAACACGUGAGCAACCUGCCCUGGACUCUGGGAUAAGCGCUGGAAACGGCGUCUAAUACUGGAUAUGAGACGUGAUCGCAUGGUCGUGUUUGGAAAGAUUUUUCGGUCUGGGAUGGGCUCGCGGCCUAUCAGCUUGUUGGUGAGGUAAUGGCUCACCAAGGCGUCGACGGGUAGCCGGCCUGAGAGGGUGACCGGCCACACUGGGACUGAGACACGGCCCAGACUCCUACGGGAGGCAGCAGUGGGGAAUAUUGCACAAUGGGCGAAAGCCUGAUGCAGCAACGCCGCGUGAGGGAUGACGGCCUUCGGGUUGUAAACCUCUUUUAGCAGGGAAGAAGCGAAAGUGACGGUACCUGCAGAAAAAGCGCCGGCUAACUACGUGCCAGCAGCCGCGGUAAUACGUAGGGCGCAAGCGUUAUCCGGAAUUAUUGGGCGUAAAGAGCUCGUAGGCGGUUUGUCGCGUCUGCUGUGAAAUCCCGAGGCUCAACCUCGGGCCUGCAGUGGGUACGGGCAGACUAGAGUGCGGUAGGGGAGAUUGGAAUUCCUGGUGUAGCGGUGGAAUGCGCAGAUAUCAGGAGGAACACCGAUGGCGAAGGCAGAUCUCUGGGCCGUAACUGACGCUGAGGAGCGAAAGGGUGGGGAGCAAACAGGCUUAGAUACCCUGGUAGUCCACCCCGUAAACGUUGGGAACUAGUUGUGGGGACCAUUCCACGGUUUCCGUGACGCAGCUAACGCAUUAAGUUCCCCGCCUGGGGAGUACGGCCGCAAGGCUAAAACUCAAAGGAAUUGACGGGGACCCGCACAAGCGGCGGAGCAUGCGGAUUAAUUCGAUGCAACGCGAAGAACCUUACCAAGGCUUGACAUAUACGAGAACGGGCCAGAAAUGGUCAACUCUUUGGACACUCGUAAACAGGUGGUGCAUGGUUGUCGUCAGCUCGUGUCGUGAGAUGUUGGGUUAAGUCCCGCAACGAGCGCAACCCUCGUUCUAUGUUGCCAGCACGUAAUGGUGGGAACUCAUGGGAUACUGCCGGGGUCAACUCGGAGGAAGGUGGGGAUGACGUCAAAUCAUCAUGCCCCUUAUGUCUUGGGCUUCACGCAUGCUACAAUGGCCGGUACAAAGGGCUGCAAUACCGUGAGGUGGAGCGAAUCCCAAAAAGCCGGUCCCAGUUCGGAUUGAGGUCUGCAACUCGACCUCAUGAAGUCGGAGUCGCUAGUAAUCGCAGAUCAGCAACGCUGCGGUGAAUACGUUCCCGGGUCUUGUACACACCGCCCGUCAAGUCAUGAAAGUCGGUAACACCUGAAGCCGGUGGCCCAACCCUU